GAUGAACGCUGGCGGCGUGCCUAAUUCAUGCAAGUCGAGCGAACAGAUAAGGAGCUUGCUCCUUUGACGUUAGCGGCGGACGGGUGAGUAACACGUGGGUAACCUACCUAUAAGACUGGAAUAACUCCGGGAAACCGGGGCUAAUGCCGGAUAACAUUUAGAACCGCAUGGUUCUAAAGUGAAAGAUGGUUUUGCUAUCACUUAUAGAUGGACCCGCGCCGUAUUAGCUAGUUGGUAAGGUAACGGCUUACCAAGGCAACGAUACGUAGCCGACCUGAGAGGGUGAUCGGCCACACUGGAACUGAGACACGGUCCAGACUCCUACGGGAGGCAGCAGUAGGGAAUCUUCCGCAAUGGGCGAAAGCCUGACGGAGCAACGCCGCGUGAGUGAUGAAGGUCUUCGGAUCGUAAAACUCUGUUAUUAGGGAAGAACAAAUGUGUAAGUAACUGUGCACGUCUUGACGGUACCUAAUCAGAAAGCCACGGCUAACUACGUG
rnacentral:rRNA from 1 species